UCUCUUAGGUAAGAGACAAAUUU
rnacentral:snRNA from 1 species